rnacentral:rRNA from 1 species
AUCUUCCACAAUGGACGGACGUCUGAUGGAGCAACGCCGCGUGAGCGAAGAAGGUUUUCGGAUCGUAAAGCUCUGCUGUAAGUUAAGAACACGUACGGGAGUCUCUGCCCGUAUUUUGCCGGUACCUUAUCAGAAAGCCACGGCUAACUACAUGCCAGCAGCCGCGGUAAUACGUAGGUGGCAAGCGUUGUCCGGAAUUAUUGGGCGUAAAGCGCGCGCAGGCGGUCCUUUAAGUCUGAUGUGAAAGCCCACGGCUCAACCGUGGAGGGUCAUUGGAAACUGGAGGACUUGAGUACAGAAGAGGAAAGCGGAAUUCCACGUGUAGCGGUGAAAUGCGUAGAGAUGUGGAGGAACACCAGUGGCGAAGGCGGCUUUCUGGUCUGUAACUGACGCUGAGGCGCGAAAGCGUGGGGAGCAAAC